UACGGAGGAUGCGAGCGUUAUCCGGAUUUAUUGGGUUUAAAGGGUGCGUAGGCGGUUUCUUAAGUCAGUGGUGAAAUCUAGUUGCUUAACAACUAAAUUGCCAUCGAAACUGGGGGACUUGAGUACAGACGAGGUAGGCGGAAUGUGUAGUGUAGCGGUGAAAUGCUUAGAUAUUACACAGAACACCGAUAGCGAAGGCAGCUUACUGGUAUGUAACUGACGCUGAGGCACGAAAGCGUGGGGAUCGAACAGG
rnacentral:rRNA from 1 species